UCACUGUAUUAGAAUUUAAUAUUUACCAACAGUAAACACGUUUAAUAUAGUAAAUAUCCAAAGAGGUGUUCGUGGGUUCGUCAUGAAUAUAACUAAAUGUAUUUUACAAAUAUCUUAAAUGCAGGAGUUGCAAUUGGGAAAAAUAAUUAUACGAAUAAAAGUAAGUAGUAAUAUUAAACACUUGGGUAUUUUGUUAAACAAACAUGAACCCAUUAAUAGCAAACUAAAAACGAUCCGUUUUGGCGAAGACAUACAGAUAACUGUCGUAUCAUUGAGCGGAAACUUCAUAAAUCAAGUGUCAUAAUUUUGUGGUUCCAGAAACGAUCAUAGCACUGUGCUAAGACACUAACGUUUUUUGCUCUUAAACGUUAUGGUCAAUCUUCAGUCACCUUAUUUACAAUAUACCUCGUAAGAUGUUUUACCACGUUUACGUUUGACAACUGCGUUUCAUGAAAUUCAUAAUAAAAUGUAUGUAAUUAUACCUUUUACUGUUUCAAAAAUGGGUUAAUAAUAUACUUGAAGAUACGAGCAUGUCCAAAGUUGAUAAGCUUAUUUUAUAUAUUGAUUUUUUUCUGUGCACUUUUCUUUGUUGUUGAAUUUGUUAGCAACGUAUAAUGCAUAUGCCGCAUGAUUUAUCUUUAAAAAAAACGUAUGUAAAAUACCUUUUUCAUGCAAAUAUGAAGUGUGCAACUAAAGGUAUGUAUAAGUUGCAUUUAAGUUCCAACUCUAAAUGUUACUGUAAUUUACCAAACAUGACAUGAAAACCCAAAGUGACGAACAUGUCACAAUUUUAACUUAUGAUGAUAAAAGUUGAAAUAUCGCUUUAUGUUAAACGUUAUUAUUUGUUAUCUAUAUUUUUUUAUGAAAAACGCGUUAUACAUGCAAUAUGAAAAAUAAAUAUUCAUCAUAUAUUUGGAAAGAAACAAUCUUAAAUAGUUUUUUAUUGACGAAAAAUAUUCCGUUUAAUACUAUCGACACUGUUCAAUUAAAAUAUAUCCCUGCAGAACGCUUCAUGUCAAGGUUUUCAAAUAAUAAUGGUAUUAAAUAGUUAAUAUUAUCUUUGCAAUCAAAUGACAGUUAUAAUUCUCUAAUUAGCAUAAAUGCGAACCAUUAAAAAAGUCCAUCAUGAUAUAGAAAAUUCAAUUGAUAUUUUUGCUUUCAGGGACAUCGAGACGUCGCGAAAACUUAAUUGCUCAUGCUUAUUAUUUACAAUAGUGUAUUCAUACGUGAAUAUUUGCAAUGAAUUAAACAACUAAAGCACGUAUAACUAUUUUAAAAAACACUUAAGUUCUUUUGAAUUGCUUAUGGAUCAGAUAUACAAUUAUUUAUGUUUAUUGUUUUAAUUAAAUAUAGGAUAUUUAUUGGAUUCGAUGGAAUAUCGAUUUUAUUUCACGAGUGAAUAUAUAAAAUAGUAUUUUCGCCACGAGUAAUAUAUUUUUUUAUGAUCACGAGUGAAUUAAAAUCGAUAUUCCAUUGAAUCCAUCAAAUUUCCUUUUUAUUUUAAGCUUUUUCACCGUUUAUUUACAUCGUAAAAGAGUUUAACUGGAUUAUUUUGCUGGAGUUAUGACGUCAUUUCGUCGAAUAAAUGACGUAAUUUCACAGUAAAACAGUGAAAAAUACCGAUAUUCUUCGGUGUUAUUUUUCAUUGUUUGAAACAGUGAAAUAUCAUUUUUAUUAUGCCCCCCUUCGAAGAAGAGGGGGUAUAUUGCUUUGCUCAUGUCGGUCGGUCGGUCGGUCGGUCGGUCGGUAGGUCGGUCGGUAGGUCGGUCGGUCGGUCCGUCCACCAGGUGGUUGUCGUAUGAUAAGUCAAGAACGCAUACGCCUAGGAUCAUGAAACUUCAUAGGUAGAUUGAUCAUGACUUGCAGAUGACCCCUAUUGAUUUUGAGGUCACUAGGUCAAAGGUCAAGGUCACGGUGACCCGCAAUAGUAAAAUGGUUUCCGGAUGAUAACUCAAGAAUGCAUACGCCUAGGAUCAUGAAACUUCAUGGGUAGAUUGAUCAUGACUCGCAGAUGACCCCUAUUGAUUUUGAGGUCACUAGGUCAAAGGUCAAGGUCACGGUGACCCGAAAUAGUAAAAUGGUUUCCGGAUGAUAACUCAAGAAUGCAUACGCCUAGGAUCAUGAAACUUCAGGGGUAGAUUGAUCAAGACUCGCAGAUGACCCCUAUUGAUUUUGAGGUCACUAGGUCAAAGGUCAAGGUCACGGUGAUCCGAAAUAGUAAAAUGGUUUUCGGAUGAUAACUCAAGAACGCAUAUGCCUAGGAUCAUGAAACUUCAUAGGUAGAUUGAUCAUGACUCGCAGAUGACCCCUAUUGAUUUUGAGGUCACAAGCUCAAAGGUCAAGGUCACGGUGACUCGAAAUAGUAAAAUGAUUUUUGGAUGAUAACUCAAGAACGCUUUUGCCUAGGAUCAUGACACUUCAUAGGUACAUUGAUCGUGACUCGCAGAUGACCCCUAUUGAUUUUCAGGUCACUAGUUUAUUCUGUUUUUACACUGUCCAGUAAAGAGACUUACAAAUUGAAUUUUUGAAACAUGUUAAUUCAUAAUGAUGUAUAAGCCUUUGUUUCUGUGCCAGUAAAUACUAUGUUUAUGGAAAUGACGUGAGAAUUCAACAUUUAAAAAACCAAUGUAAUAUGAUAUGUAAUAUUAUAUGGCAACAGGACAGUUGUGAUUUGCUGGGUCAAUUCUAUUUAGCUUGACCAUCCAAGCGGUUGAUAGCUUUGACAAACUGGUGGUCUGAAACAUUGAAAAAAUGUCACGAUUCACUGACAAUAAAUCAAACAUGUAAUUCUUGCUACGCAACUUGCAUAUAAUUUUGUCAAUUCAAAUUAUACAUAAAAAUAUAAUUAAUUUUUAAUCUGCUUGUUAAUUGAAAAACAGCAACACAGUUUGUAUGUUUAAAACAAUGUUAAUACAUAAAUAGGAUCAAGCAUAUUAAAAUAUCAACUUAGAUUUAGUUUCCUUUACUGUACAGGAUUUGUAAAGUUAGGUUAAUAUUUGUGUAUUGAACAAAAAUAACAACAGUGUAAAGAAAAGUUAAUUUGGGGAUGUUCUAUCCAAACCCUGAGAGUUCAGAUUUCCUCAAAUGCCAAGUAAAGAUUGUAAAUUUCAACCCACUCGUCUGGUUAGUUUUCAGAGGCACAUAUAAUUAACUUUUAGGCUUAGUGUCUCAUUUGUACAUGCAUUACUGUAUUAACUCCAAAUCAACUAGUACAAGUGGUAGGCCAGUAUUACAUGGACUGGUGUUCACUGUUUACACAGUUUCACAACCCCAUCUGAUACU